UCAGACCGUGAUACUCAAAGUGGGGGUGCUUGCCGUUUUUUUUGCACUGGAAAGUGCUUCCAUUUUGAGCAACUCUGUCUGG
rnacentral:pre_miRNA from 1 species